ACUCUCAUGGUGAGAGUUUAUGCGGUCCCCGCCGCGUACCGGCUAGAACCCGGCUUAUAAAGGAGAAAAACAAUG
rnacentral:ncRNA from 1 species